CGAAACCGCGCGCCGGCCGGCGGCGCCCAGGACUGCCCUGCAGAGCCUUCCCGAGGGGGCGUCGGCUCAGCCCGGCGCUCGGGGCUGCUACGGUGGUUCGGGUCGGAGACCCCUGAGAUCUUAAAGAUUUGUCCAGUGAGAAUUAGGUGCAGACUGUUCCAGAGACAAGGAAACAGUCACUGGGGAGAGAGAAAGUGGAUGUCAGGUUCAGGGACCUGCAGAACGGCCCGUGUGACUAGAGAGUGAGUGGCAGGAGAAAAGCACUCCAUAGAGCAAAUGGAGAUGAUUUUUCUACUUAAGUACCACCUAAGCUAUCUCUAGAAAGACCUAGAAGAGCGACUUUUGUCUCUAUUUUUGGGAUGCCUACAUGUCCACAAAACUCAGGAGGUUUCAAAUUCCACCAAAUCCAGCAUCCUUUCGUAAUGGGCACCAGUGCCACCACGUAGAUUGGGGAAAAUGGAGUUGAUUGCUGGUCUAAAGACUUUUCAGCCCAAACAUUGGUCUCUUGGGACCUUGUGUGCAGCAGAGGCAUCUCAUCACUCACCUGAGUAAACAGCUGGGAUCUUUCUAUUCGGAGAUGAGCCACCAUGCCCCUUACGGUGGAGAGUCCUUGGAGACCCAGAAGAACAUAGACGGCCCCCAGGAGGGCUCUGUGCUGGCAGGCUAAAGACAGAAAUAGCCAUACGGUGGCUGUUAAAGGGAUGAGACUGUGGCGUGCUUUCUUGUGAUAGAUGGUAGGACUCAGCUCGGAAGAAGCUGACUCCAGAUGGGACUUCAGGGAAAACGGGAAGAAACCGUGCCAUUACUCUGCACUUGAAGGAGCAUCUUUGGCCUGACAGGAUAAUGAACACACUUCCUCUCUCAGUCAGGUUUACUGCGUGGGCCGAGAGAGUGGCAGCUAUGUUGCAUAUUUGUGCCUGGGAUUCUUAGGGUGGGAGAAGACAACAGUCAAAUCCAGAGGUUAGCUUACACCCAGGGAUCAAAUGGCAAUUUGUCUGGUAGGUUGGUUCUCGCAGAACUGUCUCCAAGAUGAAAAGUUAUUGAUCGGUGGUGUGUAGGACAUUUAUUAGGGAGCUCUCUUAGGACCAAUUCCUGUGGGGGGAAGGAAGGAAGUGGAAUUAAUCCGAAGUCAGCUACAGGCCCAGGAGGUUUUGACAGACUGAUAGAGAGCUCUCAAGCUAGGGUGGGUGUUUGGAGUUCUGUCAGGACAAAGGGACUAAGUCUUCUAGUACCGACUAGGUAUUAGGUGCUAGCUACCCCGGGAAGAGGACAAAGGGACUAAGUCUUCUAGUACCGACUAGGUAUUAGGUGCUAGCUACCCCGGGAAGGGGGCAUUGUCUUGGGGGAAAGCAGCUUAUUCAGCCAAGGCUGGUUCAUCAAGAAGACAGCAGAGGGCUGGGAGAUGGCUCGGUCAGUAAGGUGCUUGCUGUACAAGCAGGAGGUCUUGCUUGGAACCCAUGUGAGCCCAGGCACAGUGCCUAUGACCCCCCCACACACACCCCCCACCCUCCACUGGGGAAAUAGAGACAGGAGGAUCCCUGUAGCCUGCUGACCAAAUAGAUAGUCUACACAAGUAAGGAAACAUACAUAAAUGCCCUUAAAAGACUUCUAUCAGAUCACUCAACCUACAACCCUCUCCAUAGCUGGGGACCAGUCCCUCUGCCCUGAGGGAGCGCCUGUAUUACAAAGUGCAUCUUGUAGUUUAUUCUGUAACUUGGUUGUCAUGAAGUGUGUAACCUGGUCGUCAUAAAGUGUUUUGGGUUUUGGGUUUGAGGUUUCCUCAGUGUAGCCUUAACUGUCAUGAAACUUGCUCUGUAGACCAGGCUGGGCUUGAGCUCAGAGACCCAUCUGCCUCUGCCUCUUGAAUGUUGGGGUCAUUUAAAGGCAAGUGCCACCACCCUGGCCUUUUGACAGGAUCUUAGGUAGACCAGGCUGGUAUGGAAUUUAUACCCUGCCUCUGUCUUUCAAGAGCUGGGAUGGCAGGUAUGUGGUACCAUGUCUGCCUAGUAAAUUUUCAGUUCCUCGACAUCUUCUAAUAAAGUUGACUACAGGAAAAAGAACCACGUUGGUCCAGUGAUUUGAAUUCCCUUCAUAUCCCCCAUUCUUGGGACAUGCUUACCUGGAUUUGACGAAACUCUCCUACUGUAAUGAGAUGCAAGCCAGAGAGAUGGCUCAGUAGAAAAGUGCUUGCUUAUGGGUCCUGAGGACCUGAGUUCAAUGCUUAGGAUCAGCAUGGUCGAGGGAAAGAACCAACUCCUCUGACCUCUACAUCCUGACCAGGACAAUGCAUGCUCAUCUACACAUGUCCAUGUAUACACACAUAAAUGUAAUAAAUCCUUUUAUGAAA
rnacentral:lncRNA from 1 species